rnacentral:lncRNA from 1 species
UCAAUUUUCAGUGGAUAAAUAAAACACAGUCAUCUGAUUCUUGAAAACAUAAAACUUGAAGGAUUGUUGGCUGUUUUGGGGGCAAAAUAUGGAACCUUCAGAGAGAUAAAAUAUAAUGCUUAUCUUCAGAAACAAGCAGCAUGUAGUCUUUAUCAGUUGAGCAAGGCGUGCAUCAUAAUGCCCAAGAAAGCCAUUUAUUCAAGGUACCAAAUAGAAACUCAAAUAAAUUGGCAAGAAAUAGAGAAUAAUGCAACAAACGAGAGAACCAAAUAGAAAACCAGGGUGGUUUCCCAGUAAAAAAUAACAGUCAUUCAAUAGGAUAUACUCUGACAACAAAUGUAAAAGACAGCAGUCUGAGAAUCAGGCUGAUGGCUUCACAUAAAAAUCAGGCAUUUAGCAGGAUAAACGUGUUACUGUGUGAUCAAUUAAGUAUACUCUGACAAUAUGGGCCAACAAAGAUCCUCGUUUCAAGCGUUUUGCAUUUAUGUAAUUGUCAUGUCAUUUGUCAUUUUCUUUUCAAAAAAAAUGUCAUUUAUCAUUUUAUUUUUCGCUUUCAUAAGUAGCAUGUCAUGGCAUAAAUACGAAGUGAACUAUGUUAUUAUGAUAGCCACAUUCUUUGUGAUAAACAUGUUAGAAAUAUUUUUAGCACAGACCGCUGUUCAAAUUUUAUGAAAACCCAAAUAUAUUAUAGGAGCAACUAAUAGAGUGUCCCAUACACCCAUGGCUGUUGUUAGUAGCAGCAUAUCAAAAUUAACGUGAACAUUAUAUUUUAUAACUAGAUUAUGACCUAGAUUAUAACUUUGCAUUUUAUUGAAAAGAUAGUAAACACUACAGGUCCUGCCAAAUGAUGUGAUCACAACAUAGAUCACCACCUCACGACUCAGCUUAAAUGGAAAAACUAAAAUAUGGCUUCCAAUUCACAGAAAUAAAAAUACCAUAAAGUUCAGUCAACUAAACAAAAGUGUUCUCAAUUUUUUUUAUUUCAGUCGACUUAAGCAAUGAUACCUAAAAACAGAUUGAUGAUGUACCCCAAUAUAGACAAGGGCCGAAUACUUCUUAAUGCCAGCAAAAUCAACGGACAUCAGUGUACAAGGACUCAAAAAGUGCUGACCAAAAGCGUCCAUUGUUGCCUAUUCCUUGCAACCUGAAUGGUUUCACCAACAAUAGGAAUGCCCAACCAAGAUGAUGUCGUCAAGUGGGAUAGAGAGUGACGAACAGGCGAGCCAUCCAAAAUCACAGGAAACAAAGGUGCGUACUGAUAAAUUUACAAAUUUAUCAACCAAAGUAAUUAUAAUUAACAUGUGGGAAAGAUUCUAGUCUUUUUUCCAUCUUCAAGAGAACCCAAUCACACUGUCCUGGUUUUAUCAUCACAGAGAAAGUAGAAACGAGCUUCAAGCCAAGUCAGGCCUAAACCACAUUGCUCUAGAGAGAGAAUCACAUAGGAUACAGAUUACGCAAGGCAAAGAACAAGUGAAGUCUUUCCGGUCAAAUAGAUCUGGUAUUAUGAACUCGUGGGAAAACUAUACCUAAGAGUGAAACCCCUUAGAUCAGCACCAAAAAUUGUGGAUCGCAACUCACAUUCUUUUCUCUGCAUGUCAAGUAACAAGGGAGAAAUAUAUAGUCCUCAGAGAUCCAUUCGUUGAAAGAGAUACAAAUCACGUCGGUGACAUGAGAGAGAAGGAAUGUGGAUGAUUAAUGAGAAAACUAGAAGAGAAAAUACAUCCAUCGAAACUCUCCAGAGAAGGGAAAAGGGAACGUAUCAGAUUUAUGCGGCAGCAACGACAGCGAUGACAAGCGGAGGAGACGCCAGGUGUAGUUUUCUCUAAAAAUCACUCAAACUUUCAAGAAGAAGAGAGUACUCUCGGCACAAGAAACUCCCCCAAUCUCGGGCCUUGACACAAACUAAUAAAAUCAAAGCAAGAGUUUCAACCAAUCAGAACACUAAGAAAAUAAUAGCAUCCGAAUGUCCGAAAAUUCCACUUAGGAACACGGCGAUGUGAAAGGAGAAAAAUCAAAAUCCACAGCCGGAGUAGACUGCUCGGAGAAGAAAACGGGGGAGAGAGGAACGCACUUCUAGGCAGUAGAGAAGAGCUCAGAGCGCAGGACCUGUUCGGUUCCUUCCAGUGGGCUCCCGAGAACGAUCAAGACCGAUAGACGCACUGCCCAGGGGAACGGUGACCGAGCUUCCCGUGCAUCCACAAGAGGCAGCGGCUUCGAAUAUUCGCGUGGUCCCGGAAGGCACAGAGAAAGAAAGAAAAGAGAGACUAAACCCGCCUUGGAGAGCCCGACCAGACUGAAACCGUGGUCUACAGCAAACGGUUUUCCCGUGACGCGGGCAGCGCCCG